CCUACGGGAGGCAGCAGUCGAGAAUUUUUCACAAUGGGGGAAACCCUGAUGGAGCGACGCCGCGUGGAGGAUGAAGGUUUUCGGAUUGUAAACUCCUGUCACUAUAGAACAAGAAAUACAACUUAACACGUUGUAAAUUUGAUAGUAUAUGGGGGGGAAGGGACGGCUAACUCUGUGCCAGCAGCCGCGGUGAU
rnacentral:rRNA from 1 species